GCAAUUAAAGAACCUAGAAGUUUAAAGUGAUCUUUUAUUAUUUUACCCUAGUAAUCGUUGUUAUGAAAUAAUAGAUUGAGUAGAUUUGUGCAUAAUAUGUGAAAAAAUUGUCCUUUUUUUGGUUUGAAAAAUAUACAAACAAGCGCUAUGUUGCUAGGAGAUGGAAAUUAGAUAUUAUUUGCAAUAUAAUUUUUGCCACAUCAAUAUUUAUUUAUUUAGUUAUUGCACUCAGAAUUCCCGUUAGAUUUUUAAAUUUUAAGAAAACUGUAACAAUUCAAUUGGAGAGAUUUAAUUUAUAGGUUUUCAAGUAAGAUAAGUAUGUUAAUAAAAAUAUUAAUUACAAAACCUACAACAAGUUAUGUAUUUAAUAUUUAUGAUUCUAUUACUCAAUAAGAUGAACGGAUGAUCAGUUAUAAGAAUAAAAAAAAUAAGGAAUUCUAUAGAUUUUGUAAAUGAAAUUUGUAAAAGAUGAAAACUAUGAAGUUCGAAAAUAAAGCAAAUCAUAGAUUAAAAUUCUGAAAAUUGGAUUCAAUGAAUCAAAGAUAAAGAUUUUAGCAUCAGUAUUUUGGCACAAGUUUAUUCUACAAAUUGCAGUAUACAGUAUAUAUCCCUCAGCAAUAUGAAUUAUUAUUUCACACAGGACAUGAAUGUACCAAUCUUUGCAAACUUCAUAAAACAUCCUUUUGCAAUUAAAAUAUUUAAACAAAUUCUUUCUAAUUGAGAACUACUAUAUUAUUUUGAAUGAAAUUAACAGAGAAAUUAUAUGUAACUUUCAACCAAAAUUCGAUUUUUUAUAUAGAUAAAUUAAGUAAACAUCAAACUUUUUAAAAUAACAAUAGCAUCACUAUAUGGUGUUGGUCAGCAGCAUCUUUUUUGAAACACACUGCCUGUAAUAAUAUUUAAAGUUGUUUUU
rnacentral:lncRNA from 1 species